UCAAACACCAGUUUCCGUACGAUCAGUGAAGUUAAGCAACAUCAAGCUUGGUUAGUACUUAGAUGUGUAACCUCUUGGGAAUACCAGGUACUGUAAG